rnacentral:rRNA from 1 species
CAGCAGCCGCGGGAACACGGAGGGGGCUAGCGUUGUUCGGAAUUACUGGGCGUAAAGCGCACGUAGGCGGCUUGGUAAGUUAGAGGUGAAAGCCUGGAGCUCAACUCCAGAAUUGCCUUUAAGACUGCCGAGCUAGCAGGUGAGAGAGGUAAGUGGAAUUCCGAGUGUAGAGGUGAAAUUCGUAGAUAUUCGGAAGAACACCAGUGGCGAAGGCGGCUUACUGGCUCAUACUGGACGCUGAGGUGCGAAAGCGUGGGGAGCAAACAGGAUUAGAUACCCCGGUAGUCCCUGUCUCUUAUAC